rnacentral:rRNA from 1 species
UACAGAGGGUGCGAGCGUUGUUCGGAAUUAUUGGGCGUAAAGGGCGCGUAGGCGGUGCGGUAAGUCACCUGUGAAAUCUCCCGGCUCAACCGGGAGGGUGCGCCGAAUACUGAGUGACUAGAGUGCGGGAGAGGAAAGUGGAAUUCCUGGUGUAGCGGUGAAAUGCGUGAGAUAGUCGGGAGGAACACCUGUGGCGAAAGCGGCUCACUGGACCACAACUGACGCUGAGGCGCGAAAGCUAAGGGGAGCAAACAGG